rnacentral:rRNA from 1 species
GACGAGGGGUCCUAGCGUUGUUCGGAAUCACUGGGCGUAAAGCGCAUGUAGGCGGCUUUUCAAGUCAGGUGUGAAAGCCCACGGCUUAACCGUGGAAGUGCAUUUGAAACUGUAAAGCUUGAGUAUGGGAGAGGAUGGUAGAAUUCCUGGUGUAGUGGUGAAAUACGUAGAUAUCAGGAGGAAUACCGGUGGCGAAGGCAGCUCUCUGGUACGUGACUGACGCUGAGACGCGAAAGCGUGGGGAGCAAACAGG